GUUGGCAACCGGCUUGGAAUCGCCCAGCUGUCCCCUCAGACGGCAGCCCGUGGCCGUCCCCUUCGCCGUGGGAUGCGGGGAUUUGGGGCGGCUGAAGGAGUCGGGGCCCCCACCGCUGUAGCGCUGCUGCCCCCAUUAGGGCCUGGAACCCCGAGCCUCCAGCUCUGCUCGCGGUGCCCCCCAAGGCUGAGGUUUCAGUCUCCAUUCUGCUGAUCCGAAAGAAAGAAGGCGGCUUUUGGAGGACUUGAUCAUGGCGAGUCGAGCUGCUGCUGAACCUCCCCUUCCAACAUCCAGCAGGUUUGUUCUGCAGGUCCCAAUGAUGGCACAGGCAUGAAAGAGCCCAGAGCUCGUCGCUGGGGAGAGGCUGCGUAUGGCGUUGUGAAGGGAGAGAUGGAGGAGGGGUUUGAGCAGCGCUGUGCAGGAAUGAACGGCUGGUAAGAGAAGAGGCAGGAGUCGGGCAGCGGUACUGCAGCUCCUCUGGCAGCUUUGCAGCUCAGCUGGGAAGCAGAAGAUGUGGAUGUGAAAGAAGAAGUCCGUUGCUGGGACGUUCCCCUGUUCUUCCCCCAGCUGUCCCCUUGCCUCAGCCUGGAUUCCCCUUGCAUUCCUGUAGGAUUCCCUUCCAUCCCCCUGGCUGCCCCUUGCUUUCCCCAAGGCUGCCCUUUCCUUUCUCAUGACUGCCCACCCAUCAUUCCCUCAGAGUUCCAAUAACCCUCCCAGUGUUUCCCAGCAAGACCCCUAGAGACACCCUAUAGCCCCCCACAGAGCCCUGGAGCCCCUCGAGGACCCCCUCAGACCCAGUACACCUCCCCCGUAGCUGGCCCAUACCCACAUGGAGCCCCACAGUCCCCAGCAGCACCCCAUGUGCCCCACUGGGCUUCCCCGGAAUCCUCCUAUUUCCUCCCUCAGACCUCCUUUACACCUCCAAGAUACCCCCUGGGAACUCGCUGACCCCCAUGUUCUUUGACAGUACCCCCAUCACCAUCCAGUGAACCCCAUAGCCCACCUUUGGCCUCUCCUCCCCCUGACCUGCCUCCAGAUCCCGUACAACCUCACAGUGCUGUAGCAUGGAUGGCUUCUGCAGCUGACUUGGAUUUCUUCUCCCACUGUCCCGUGAAGGAGUUGAUUUGCUUCAGUCCAUCCCUGUUCCAUUCCUGGCUCGGGUAUCCCUCGUGGCCAUGCAGCACCGCAGCAGCAAAGCUCCAAUCCCUUCCCCGGUCUCAGUGGGUUCAGUUUGUUCUGUUCUCAUCCACUUACAGAAACAGAAGCUACCAACCCACCAAACCCUGGGACAGGUAUUUCCCUACAGAAGCAUUCAUGUCCUUCUCCUGGCCCCUUUGGCCAGCUCCCAGCUCUCCAAACUGAGGCGUACGGCUGCAGCCCACCCCAUGGCUUCUCUGGGGCAGCUGUGGGGCAGCCCCACCCUGAGGAGGAGAUGCCUUUUCCCUAGCAUGCAGCUGGUUCUAUGGCCACAUGGGGUGAGGACGUGGGGUCGUGGGUCACAUAGGGAGUCCUGCAGGGUCACAGAGUUACAAGGUGAUGUGGUGCUAUGGGUUCAGGUGGGGUUCUGAGUCACAGUGAUGGGGUCAGAUGGGGUGACAUGGAGUUACGGGUCACAUGGGUUGUAUGGUUGGGUGAGGUGGGGGCAGGGAUCCCAGAGUUAUGGGGCCAAAUGGAAUUGGGUCGCAGCGUGAUGGGGGCAGGCAGAGUCAGGGAGUCACAGGGUCAUGUGGGGGUAUGAUUCCCCCAGGGCUGUGGGUCACGUGCAGCCAUGGGGUCACGCACAUAGAGGGCGAUGAGGUCAUCUUGGGUUAUGGCUCAUGUGGGUUUACGGCUCAGGGCCCCUCUUUUGGGCCUCAGGGACGCCCAGUCCCCUCUCAGGAUGAAUUGAAACCACUGCAACUCUGCCCACCCCCCCCCCCCCCUCUUUUUACCUCAAGCUGCUCCCCACAUCCUCCCAUACCCCCUAUGUCUCCAUACUACCCCAUGUACCUGUUUCCCACCUGCAGCCCGCGUCUUAUCUUCUCUUGGACAGCAUUCUGCUCCUGCAGCCUGUGUUCCCAUAUCCCCCGAUGUCCCUAUAUCCCUCCCACACCCCCCACAGAGCCCCAUAGCUCCUCAAGGACCUUCUCCCGGUACACCUCCCCCCAGCAACCUGCGACCUCACAGAGCUCCACAGUCCCCAGCAGCACCCCACGUCCCCCUCUGAGCUCCCACUGAACUCCCCUAUUUCCUCCUUCAGACAUCCUUAACCUCUUCAGCCCCCUCCGCCCCGGCUUCUCGGACUCCCACAGUUUCUGAGAGGACCGCCAUCACCAUUCCAGGAUCCCCAUAUCCCACCGACGAGGAACCCCACAGCACAACACAUCUCAGGAUGGGGCUCCAGCUGUGCCCCGAUGCGUUCAUUCAAGAGAGGAGAAUGAAUGAGCGUAAGGGGGCGACUUUCCUUCUGACAUUGCCCACCACCUGCGUGUUGGCUGUGCCGUGCCAGCAGCAUUUUGUCCUCGAGCUGUGAGUGCAGGUAUGCGUGCAUACGGGGGUGUGCAGAGAUGGUGCUGAACAUCAGAGCGUGCAUUGCACGUGGCUCUGUGCACGGUGCUUGCAGGUGAAAGUUUUGCAUGUGUGCGCAUGCACAUGGCUGUGUGCAAGGCCAGAGCAGCGCUCGUGUCAUCGUGCACGUGGGUGUGCAAAGGGAUGGAGUGCACGCAUGUGUGUGUAUGCAUGAACACGGGAGAGUGCAUCAAGGUCUUUGCACAAGGCCAUUUGUUUUAUCACACUUUUGCGUGUACAUGAAUGGAGUACGCACACAGGGCUGUGCAAGGAUGAGAUUCCACGUGUGUGUGAAUGCACAGGUGUGUGUGCAGGGAAAUCUUUGCACUUGGGUGUAUGGUUCUGCACACAUCCCUGCACACAGAUGCGCGUGCAAGGGAGCAGCGGAGGCUCCUGGGAACAGGAGAUUGCUGGGAGCAGCAGAACUCCCGUGAGAGUGCUGGAGAGCACAGGGCCGGGAAGCACAGCUCCGCAGCAGUGCGCUCUGCACAACAGCCUGCAGGACGGCACAGAGCGCUGACAGAACCAGGACACAGCGCCAUAGCAGGCACUGCAAAGGAAACAGCUCCAUCCCAGCCGCAACAGUGACAGGCAGGCAGGCACUGGGGAGGGCUGCACGGCAGAGGGACGCCCUCUGAGUGCCACAACAUGGAGCGCUGUCUGCAAGCAGAACAGUGCCAGGAUGGCAGCCUGGUGGUCCUAAGCUGCAGAGAUGCUGCUCUGGACCAACAGCCUGUCAUUUUUUCAGAAAACGCCGUCCUUUUGCUGAACUUUGCUCAUUGUACACCCGUCAUCACAGCAAAAAACGCUCAGUGCUGCCCUGGGAAACUCAGCAAUCUCCACAGCAUUGCUCUCCAAGUUAGCACGCUCAUGGCCAGGCUUUGUUCCCUGCAGCUCUUUGCACGUGCUUUGCAGACAGUCUGUUUGUGGGCAGUGCAAAGGACUGCUGCAUCCAUUGCAUCACUGGACGGCAGCAUUCGCUGACGGAGCUGUGGCAGUUCUGAUGCGAGCGCCGCGAGACCAAUAACGAGGAGGUGGUGCAGCAGCUCUCCGAGUGCCGCUGGACAAAUCAGGCCGUGCGCUCUCUGUGAAUCUAUAAAUUUGACUGGUGUUUAUUGACUACGU